GGUGGUAUCGUAUAGUGGUUAGUACGGUUCGUUGUGGCCGAACAAACGCCGGUUCGAUUCCGGCUACCGCCA